CUCGUCACCCGGAUCCCCGGGGCCGCAGUGACACUCGGAGAUCACUCUGGGUUCACUUAAAUAGGAGUACUCUCCCCUUUUCCGGGGAACCUGCAGAGUUUGGCAGCGGAAGGAAAGGUCUCCCACCACCCUCCCCCGGUACGAAACAGCGGUGAACUUGUUAGGCGCCCUGGUAUCUCAAGAGGGGCUUGCGAGUUGGUGUUCUGCUCAUUUCUGGCGCUGGUGCCGGAUUGAACAGGUACUUUCUAAACAAUAAACAUGUGACACUUGUUUAAUAAUCACAGCAACCAUGGAGUGGAUACUAUUAUCACCAUUUAAUAGAGGAGUGUGAUGAGAAGCCAUUAGAGGGUUGAGUGAAGGGAAAGGAUAUCCAACGAGAACCUCCUGCCCUGUGUCUCAUGAAGAGGCAGUAUUUCAAGAAGAGGCUUAAAGCUGAGAGUGUUUUGCUAAUCAGUGAAGAUGUGACUAAUGAGCUGCUGGGGAAGUCAAGCCUUCUAUGAGGAAGCCAAGGCCCAGCAGAGCUGAGAUGUGACUGCAGAGCCGUCCAACCCCAGUCCUGUGACCUUUCUCUGGUGCCUGAUACCUCUCAGCAUUUGAGGGCCUUUUCUCUUCCUGCUUCAUCUCUAAAGGUCCUUCUAGGAGAGAGGUGAAAGAUUUUAGAAAUCUUGAGCUGUGUCUUCAGUAUGCUGUCUGUGAAAUAAGGCUAUCAUUGCGUGGCAGCCAAGAUUUUC
rnacentral:lncRNA from 1 species